rnacentral:ncRNA from 1 species
UGAUAGAGGCGCGGUUACGAUGAGUACCCCACCCAAGGCAUGGACAAAGGCCGUGGGGGAAGGGCGUCGCCGCCGAAGGGCAGAUAAGCUGGUCCGGCUGUCUGUGCCUGGGCCGCAGGGGAAUACCCUGCGGACUGUCACACGUCCCGUGUGAAGCGCUAUCA